GACGAACGCUGGCGGCGUGCUUAACACAUGCAAGUCGAACGGGCCUGUCUUCUUUUUUGGGGGUGGGUUGAGUGGCGAACGGGUGAGUAUCACGUGAGUAACCUGCCCUUCGGUCCUGGAUAACCGCUUGAAAGGGCGGCUAAUACGGGGUGGUCCGGUUGGUCCGCAUGGGCUGGUCGGGAUAGAUUCACUGUUUUUGGUGUUUCGGCGGGGGAUGGGCUCGCGGCCUAUCAGCUUGUUGGUGGGGUGAUGGCCUACCAAGGCGGUGACGGGUAGCCGGCCGGAGAGGGUGGGCGGCCACACUGGGACUGAGGUACGGCCCAGACUCCUGCGGGAGGCAGCAGUGGGGGGUAUUGCACAAUGGGCGGAAGCCUGAUGCAGCGACGUCGCGUGAGGGAUGGAGGCCUUCGGGUUGUGAACCUCUGUUUCCGGUGGUGAAGGCCCUGUCCGUGUGGUGGGGUUGACGGUAGCCGGGGAUGAAGCGCCGGCUAACUACGUG
rnacentral:rRNA from 1 species